rnacentral:rRNA from 1 species
ACGGAGGAGCCCACUCUUCCUCCAGCGCCAGGCUGUAUGUCGUCGUCGAGGAAGAGCUGUUCCUCGGGCACCCGGAACGCGCCAUGCGCGCAGGCGAGCGCGGCGCCGGCCGCGAGGGCGGAGAAGACGAUGGACCCGACGGAGGUCACGAACACGACGAACGCCGACGCCGCCAAGAGCCCGCCCAGCGUCUCCCUCUCGGAGAAGGUCUUCCCAAAGGCCUCCAGCGGGGGUGCGUCGGCGGCGCGGAGGAGGUAG